rnacentral:rRNA from 1 species
CCUACGGGAGGCAGCAGUGGGGACUAUUGCACAAUGGGGGGAACCCUGAUGCAGCGACGCCGCGUGAGUGAAGCAGUAUUUCGGUAUGUAAAGCUCUAUCAGCAGGGAAGACAAUGACGGUACCUGACUAAGAAGCACCGGCUAACUACGUGCCAGCAGCCGCGGGAAUACGUAGGGGGCAUGCGUUAUCCGGAUUUACUGGGUGUAAAGGUAGCGCAGACGGCUGUGAGAGUAUGGAGGGAAAGGCGGGGUCCCAACCCCCGGACUGCUCUGUAAACUGUAAAGCAGGAGUGCAGGAGAGGUAAGCGGAAUGCCUAGUGUAGCGGUGAAAUGCGUAGAUAUUAGGAGGAACACCAGUGGCGAAGGCGGCUUACUGGACUGCAACUGACGUUGAGGCUCGAAAGCGUGGGGAGCAAACAGGAUUAGAUACCCCAGUAGUC